ACCUGGCUGGCUCAGUCAGGUAGAGCAUGGGACUCAUGAUCUUGGGAAUCAUGAGUUUGAACCCCAUGUUGGAUG
rnacentral:tRNA from 1 species